rnacentral:lncRNA from 1 species
AUGACCCUCCUGCCUCAGCCCCCCAAAGUGCUAGGAUCAUAGUGCACUCCAUGAUGCAUGUAUAUGUAUAUCAAUCCUCCAAUGCAUAUCUGUCAGACACACUUAUCAGUCACCAAUUCAUGUAUUUCUGGCCAAGGGUCCUAGCUUCACAAGUUUGAGAAACAUUGCUGUACUUCUUGUCCUGCAAGCUGGGUGUGUCACUCUGGGUGAGUCCUCUCCAGGAUCUUUGCUGUCCUUACAGUUCUGUAAAAUUAUGACUUGAGCUGCAGGGAAUCCUCCCUUUUUGGGUGUGUUGCCAAAUGUCUUUCUGUGACCACAGUGGGUUAAAGGGCACAGCCCAACCACUCCUCUAGGGACAACCCUAGGGAAGCAUUGGCAGAGCCAAGCCAUCGCACAACACUGCAGGGGCCAACUCCAGAGCCCACAGUACCUUGUGUGUUCAAGUUAGGGAGUAGGAGGAAGGAUGGGAAGUGUGAACUGCUUAUCUCCAUAGUGCCACCCACCUCUGCUGCCUUUGAGACUCGAGAGUCGUUGACAAGCUGCCCACAGCUCAGUGCAAUGCCCCUGCCUACCUUAGCCCCCCUUUCAGCUGCCAAUCAUGGAAUCUACUGAGGAGGAAAGUGAGGGCUGCCAUGUCCGGUAGAAGACUGGAGAUCCCCACAUACUCUCCGAACAGUCAUUUCUUCUGACCUUCUUUCUAGACGGUUGCCUAGCAGGUCAGCUGUGCUGGGGUGGAGGGAAGGGGUGAUUCUGGCUAAUGAUAUGUACGUGGCAAUUUGGCCAGUGCCAGUAGUGCCACACACCCAGCUUGUCAGUGGCAGCAUGCCAUGGGCUCUAGCCAACCUAUUCAGUUAGCUCUAAUAAAUCUUCUUAAUUCUUUGAGAGAAGUGAGAGAGCCAGGAGUCAGGACCAUAAGGGACCAGAGCAGUGGCACCUUGGAAAGGGAGCUGGACAAUUUCUGUUCUUUGAAUGUAGCAAUGCUGUGCCCAAUCAUGGGGAAACCACCAUACCUUCAACAGCAGUGCACAUGGAGAUUUAGGGCGGGUGACUGCUAGCUAGCAUCUUGGGUGCUGCCAUUUCUCUAGCAAUACAUUUCUUGUUUCUGGCUGUUUUUACCAACUCGAAACAUUCCAUCACAUUCCAGAGCAUACACAUCUGGUGUUUUGAAUAUGUCGUUUGGACAUAUAACAUUUUGGUAAGCACUUAUUCUGGUGCAGAAGGCUAUUAGUAAUGUCAACAGUAGACUUUUUAAACAAUGAAUACUUCCCUCUGGUGAAACAAAACUUCUUUUACAAAGUCUUUUCUUGCUGAAUAUGGUGACACCUGCCUGUAAUUCCAGCAACUCUGGAGG